rnacentral:misc_RNA from 1 species
UGCGAGAGCGGCGGGCGACACACGCCGUAUGUCCGGUGUCGUUGUCUUCGCAUCGCAGAACGAGGUGCACGUUCUGCUCGACGGCAUCCGCCUCCGCCGGCUGCCGCCUACCGAUCUCACGAUCGAGAACGACACCACCGGCGAGCUUGCGAUCGAGCUCGAGAAGAUCGCCGGUGACGCGCGGCUCUUCGGGCAGCUCGUCGAAGGACAAUC